AGGUUGAUGCUGUCAUCAUUAAUCGUCCCUUGAGCAGGAAUAGCAGAACAUCCUUGGCAGCAACGUUCACCUAUAGAUCACAGCAGGAUCCUGGAGUCCAAAAGCGCUUAUUUCAUAGAGCACCCUGGGAUGGAGAAGGAAGUUCACUCCACCGCAGGCUUCUGGUUCCUGUCGUGACACAUUCUGGAUGCCAAGGCAAUCCUGGGGGUGUUGUAAGGGAUGGGACAGCAGCUUGAGGAGAAGUUUCUGGCUCUCUGUUUGGAGGAGGGGACUGGGCUGAUCAAACUUCCACCUGGUGAUGGACAACCAAAGGAAUUUAAACUAGCAUAAAAUAUGUAAAUGCGGCAGAACAAGUGAAUGACUUCACACUGCAAGAAACAAUGAUUUUCUGUAAGAUUAUCGUACAGGUAGGAGCAGAUGUGGACACAUUCCUUGACGAUGGGUAAAUGGUGGUGAAACGGGAGGCCAACUACGGCCUGGCCUGCCAGCUCCAGUAACUCCAACCAG